rnacentral:rRNA from 1 species
AUUGCCUCAGUAACGGCGAGUGAAGCGGCAACAGCUCACAUUUGAAAUCUGGCCCCCCGGGCCCGAGUUGUAAUUUGCAGAGACGCCUUCCGUGCCCGGCCCGCCCAAAGUCCCCUGGAACGGGGCGCCGCAGAGGGUGAGAGCCCCGUACGGGCGGGUUCCGGUGCCGUUGUGAAGGCCCUUCGAAGAGUCGAGCAGUUUGGGAAUGCUGCUCUAAGCGGGAGGUAAAUUCCUUCUAAAGCUAAAUACCGGCUGGAGACCGAUAGCGCACAAGUAGAGUGAGCGAAAGAUGAAAAGUACCUUGGAAAGAGGGUCAAACAGCACGUGAAAUUGUUGAAAGGGAAGCGCCCGUGGCCAGACUUGCGGCGGCUCGGUCGCCCGGCGUUCUCGCCGGUGCGCCCGCGUCGUCGCAGGCCAGCACCGGCCCCCGCGGGUCGACAAAGGUCCCGGGAACGUGGCUCCGCUCGCGGAGUGUUACAGCCCGGGGCGCAAUGCCCCCGCGGGAGCCGAGGAUCGCGCUCUGCGCAUGGAUGCCGGCGUAAUGGCCCCCGGCGACCCGUCUUGAAACACGGACCAAGGAGUCAAGGUUUUGCGCGAGUGUUCGGGUGUCAAACCCGCACGCGCAGUGAAAGCAAACGCUGGUGGGAGCCCCGGCGCACCACCGACCGAUCCCGAASGCCUCGGACGGAUUUGAGUAUGAGCGCAGAGCCUUGGACCCGAAAGAUGGUGAACUAUGCUUGGAUAGGGUGAAGCCAGAGGAAACUCUGGUGGAGGCUCGCAGCGGUUCUGCACGUGCAUAAUCGAUCGUACAAAUCUGACGCAUGGGGGGCAAAGAGUAAUCGAACCAUCUAGUAGCU